CAAGUACUCCCACCAUCCGAAAAUACUUGUCAUCAAAAUGGAUAAAAAGAUGUAUCUAGAACUAAUAUACAUUUAGAUACAUCCCCUUUUAUUCAUUUUGAUGACAAGUAUUUCCGGAUGGAGGGAGUACUAC
rfam:Triticum aestivum genome assembly, contig: Triticum_aestivum_CS42_TGACv1_scaffold_000924_1AL